CACGUAUUUAGCCGGUGCUUCUUCUUUGGGUACCGUCCUUUUUCUUCCCCACUGAUAGGGCUUUACACGCCGAAGCGCUUCUUCACCCACGCGGUGUCGCUGCAUCAGGGUUUCCCCCAUUGUGCAAUAUCCCCCACUGCUGCCUCCCGUAGGAGUUUGGGCCGUGUCUCAGUCCCAAUGUGGCCGUCCACCCUCUCAGGCCGGCUACCGAUCGUCGCCUUGGUAUGCCGUUACCAUACCAACUAGCUAAUCGGACGCAGGGCCAUCCCUUACCACCUUAGUUUUUCACUCUGCCUCAUGCGAGGCUGGGCGCUUAUGCGGUAUUAGCAGUUGUUUCCAUCUGUUAUCCCCCUGUAAGGGCCAGGUUCCCUACGCGUUACUCACCCGUCCGCCACUCAGUCAUUGUGUUUUCCCUCCGUAAAGUUCCUUCACAAUCCUUCGUUCGACUUGCAUGUGUUAGGCGCACCGCCAGCGUUCAUCCUGAGCCAGGAUCAAACUCU
rnacentral:rRNA from 1 species